rnacentral:rRNA from 1 species
AGGAGUUUGACCUGGCUCAGGAUGAACGCUAGCGGCAGGCUGAACACAUGCAAGUCGAGGGGUAACAUUGUAGCUUGCUACAGAUGACGACCGGCGCACGGGUGCGUAACGCGUAUACAAUCUACCUUAUACUGAAGGAUAGCCCAGAGAAAUUUGGAUUAACACUUCAUGGUAUUACACAAUCGCAUGGUUAUGUAAUUAAAGGUUACGGUAUAAGAUGAGUAUGCGUCCUAUUAGCUAGAUGGUAAGGUAACGGCUUACCAUGGCAACGAUAGGUAGGGGCCCUGAGAGGGGGAUCCCCCACACUGGUACUGAGACACGGACCAGACUCCUACGGGAGGCAGCAGUGAGGAAUAUUGGGCAAUGGAGGCAACUCUGACCCAGCCAUGCCGCGUGCAGGAAGACUGCCCUAUGGGUUGUAAACUGCUUUUAUACAGGAAGAAACACUCCCUCGAGUAGGGAGCUUGACGGUACUGUAAGAAUAAGGAUCGGCUAACUCCGUGCCAGCAGCCGCGGUAAUACGGAGGAUCCAAGCGUUAUCCGGAAUCAUUGGGUUUAAAGGGUCCGUAGGUGGAUAAUUAAGUCAGAGGUGAAAUCCUGCAGCUCAACUGUAGAAUUGCCUUUGAAACUGGUUAUCUUGAGUCAUUAUGAAGUGGUUAGAAUGUGUAGUGUAGCGGUGAAAUGCAUAGAUAUUACACA